rnacentral:rRNA from 1 species
CUGCGAGUGAAGCGGCAAAAGCUCAAAUUUGAAAUCUGGCGUCCGUCGGGCGUUCCGAGUUGUAAUUUGGAGGAGCGGCUUCGGGAGCGGCACCGUCCUAAGUUCCGUGGAACCGGACGUCACAGAGGGUGAGAAUCCCGUGUCUGGACGGGGCAGCCCGUUCCCAUGCGAAGUGCUUCCGACGAGUCGAGUUGUUUGGGAAUGCAGCUCAAAAUGGGUGGUAAAUUUCAUCUAAAGCUAAAUAUUGGCGAGAGACCGAUAGCGCACAAGUAGAGUGAUCGAAAGAUGAAAAGCACUUUGAAAAGAGAGUUAAAAAGUACGUGAAAUUGUUGAAAGGGAAGCGCUUGAGAUCAAAACUCGGCCUAUGGUGAAGCUACGAGUUCGCUCGGAGCCGCUCGCCAUUGACCGGGCCAGCAUCGGUUUUGAUGGCGGGAGAAACGGUAGGGGAAUGUGGCUCUCUUUGGAGAGUGUUAUAGCCCAAGCCAGAUACCGCCUGUCGAGACCGAGGACCCCCCCGCGCUUCGGCUAGGAUGCUGGCGUAAUGGUCUUCAGCGACCCG